UGCCGCGCUCGUACAGCGCCGACAUCCCCGAGGGCCGGCGGGCCACCGCAGAGCCGUCCCCUGUCAGCGAGCUGCGGGCUCGGUUUGGCACUUAGUCAUGGGCCCUAUUUCCCAAAAGCGCAGCAGCACCGUCUCUCCCAUUGGUCCAGUAGUGAGUUUUUAGGGAACCAACUGGAAAACCUUAUGUGGAUGUAUUGGAAUCUCAUCCUUUCCACCCAUCUUUUCCACCAAUCUGGUGGGGUAACCUGGAUUGCCAGGGAGUUCUCCUGGAGGGUAGCAGCUGGUGAUUUGAACAACUGCAGUCUGAAGAGGGACAAAAACCUCCAACUUCUUGGAGCAGGUUCAGAAGUCUUGUCUUUGAAUCCCUGAUUCAAGAAAAUGUAGGAAAAAGAUUGGACCAGACUUAUGCUAGCAUGAAGAUUAUUCUGGAUCUAAACCCGAGAAACUGUUUUGAAAUGCACUGUUCAACAGUGUGAGAUCACUAGAAUGCUGUAACCUUAUUUUUACUUUUUUUACUGGAGUAAAUAAACCCUGGAUUUUGGAUUCUAAAUGCA
rnacentral:lncRNA from 1 species